rnacentral:rRNA from 1 species
CCUACGGGAGGCUGCAGUAGGGAAUAUUGCGCAAUGGACGGAAGUCUGACGCAGCGACGCCGCGUGAGCGAUGAAGGUCUUCGGAUCGUAAAGCUCUGUCCUUGGGGAAGAAGGUCUUCGGACUUGACGGUACCCAAGAAGAAAGCCCCGGCUAACUACGUGCCAGCAGCCGCGGUAAUACGGAGGGGGCGAGCGUUGUCCGGAAUUACUGGGCGUAAAGGGCUCGUAGGCGGUAACUCAAGUCAGUUGUGAAAACCGACGGCUUAACCGGAGGAUUGCAGUUGAUACUGAGUUACUUGAGGCAAGGAGAGGAAGGUGGAAUUCCCGGUGUAGCGGUGAUAUGCGUAGAUAUCGGGAGGAACCCCAGUGGCGAAGGCGGCCUUCUGGUCUUGACCUGACGCUGAGGAGCGAAAGCCAGGGUAGCGAACGGGAUUAGAUACCCGAGUAGUC